rnacentral:rRNA from 1 species
CGGCGGACGGGUGAGUAACACGUAGGCAACCUGCCUGUAAGACUGGGAUAACAUAGGGAAACUUAUGCUAAUACCGGAUAGGGUUUUGCUUCGCCUGAAGCGAAACGGAAAGAUGGCGCAAGCUAUCGCUUACAGAUGGGCCUGCGGCGCAUUAGCUAGUUGGUGAGGUAAUGGCUCACCAAGGCGACGAUGCGUAGCCGACCUGAGAGGGUGACCGGCCACACUGGGACUGAGACACGGCCCAGACUCCUACGGGAGG